rnacentral:rRNA from 1 species
AGUGAACGCUGGCGGUAGGCCUAACACAUGCAAGUCGAACGGCAGCACAGUAAGAGCUUGCUCUUACGGGUGGCGAGUGGCGGACGGGUGAGGAAUACAUCGGAAUCUACUUUUUCGUGGGGGAUAACGUAGGGAAACUUACGCUAAUACCGCAUACGACCUACGGGUGAAAGCAGGGGAUCUUCGGACCCUGCGCGAUUGAAUGAGCCGAUGUCGGAUUAGCUAGUUGGCGGGGUAAAGGCCCACCAAGGCGACGAUCCGUAGCUGGUCUGAGAGGAUGAUCGGCCACACUGGAACUGAGACACGGUCCAGACUCCUACGGGAGGCAGCAGUGGGGAAUAUUGGACAAUGGGCGCAAGCCUGAUCCAGCCAUACCGCGUGGGUGGAGAAGGCCUUCGGGUUGUAAAGCCCUUUUGUUGGGAAAGAAAAGCAGCAGGUUAAUACCCCGCUGUUCUGACGGUACCCAAAGAAUAAGCACCGGCUAACUUCGUG